rnacentral:rRNA from 1 species
UACGUAGGGUGCAAGCGUUGUCCGGAAUUAUUGGGCGUAAAGAGCUCGUAGGCGGUUUGUCGCGUCUGCUGUGAAAACGCGAGGCUCAACCUCGCGCCUGCAGUGGGUACGGGCAGACUAGAGUGCGGUAGGGGAGAUUGGAAUUCCUGGUGUAGCGGUGGAAUGCGCAGAUAUCAGGAGGAACACCAAUGGCGAAGGCAGAUCUCUGGGCCGUAACUGACGCUGAGGAGCGAAAGCAUGGGGAGCGAACAGG